UACGGGGGGGCAAGCGUUGUUCGGAAUUACUGGGCGUAAAGGGCUCGUAGGCGGCCAACUAAGUCAUACGUGAAAUCCCUCGGCUUAACCGGGGAACUGCGUCUGAUACUGGAUGGCUUGAGAUUGGGAGAGGGAUGCGGAAUUCCAGGUGUAGCGGUGAAAUGCGUAGAUAUCUGGAGGAACACCGGUGGCGAAGGCGGCGUUCUGGACUGCAACUGACACUGAGGAACGAAAGCCAGGGGAGCAAACGGG
rnacentral:rRNA from 1 species